rnacentral:rRNA from 1 species
AUUGAACGCUGGCGGCAGGCCUAACACAUGCAAGUCGAACGGUAACAGGAAGAAGCUUGCUUCUUUGCUGACGAGUGGCGGACGGGCGAGUAAUGUCUGGGAAACUGCCUGAUGGAGGGGGAUAACUACUGGAAACGGUAGCUAAUACCGCAUAAUGUCGCAAGACCAAAGAGGGGGACCUUCGGGCCUCUUGCCAUCGGAUGUGCCCAGAUGGGAUUAGCUAGUAGGUGGGGUAACGGCUCACCUAGGCGACGAUCCCUAGCUGGUCUGAGAGGAUGACCAGCCACACUGGAACUGAGACACGGUCCAGACUCCUACGGGAGGCAGCAGUGGGGAAUAUUGCACAAUGGGCGCAAGCCUGAUGCAGCUAUGCCGCGUGUAUGAAGAAGGCCUUCGGGUUGUAAAGUACUUUCAGCGGGGAGGAAGGGAGUAAAGUUAAUACCUUUGCUCAUUGACGUUACCCGCAGAAGAAGCACCGGCUAACUCCGUG